UGGGGAAUAUUGGACAAUGGGCGAAAGCCUGAUCCAGCCAUGCCGCGUGUGUGAAGAAGGUCUUCGGAUUGUAAAGCACUUUAAGUUGGGAGGAAGGGCAGUAAGCGAAUACCUGGCUGUUUUGACGUUACCGACAGAAUAAGCACCGGCUAACUCUGUGCCAGCAGCCGCGGUAAUACAGAGGGUGCAAGCGUUAAUCGGAAUUACUGGGCGUAAAGCGCGCGUAGGUGGUUCGUUAAGUUGAAUGUGAAAGCCCCGGGCUCAACCUGGGAACUGCAUCCAAAACUGGCGAGCUAGAGUAGGGCAGAGGGUGGUGGAAUUUCCUGUGUAGCGGUGAAAUGCGUAGAUAUAGGAAGGAACACCAGUGGCGAAGGCGACCACCUGGGCUCAUACUGACACUGAGGUGCGAAAGCGUGGGGAGCAAACAGG
rnacentral:rRNA from 1 species